UACGAAGGGGGCUAGCGUUGCUCGGAAUCACUGGGCGUAAAGGGUGCGUAGGCGGGUCUUUAAGUCAGGGGUGAAAUCCUGGAGCUCAACUCCAGAACUGCCUUUGAUACUGGGGAUCUCGAGUCCGGGAGAGGUGAGUGGAACUGCGAGUGUAGAGGUGAAAUUCGUAGAUAUUCGCAAGAACACCAGUGGCGAAGGCGGCUCACUGGCCCGGUACUGACGCUGAGGAGCGAAAGCGUGGGUAGCAAACAGG
rnacentral:rRNA from 1 species